CUUCCUGUGAUGAGAACUGUCCAGUUCUGCUACUGAGUGACCAGAGAUGACACUUGUGCACCUGAGGAAG